GCGUUGUUCGGAAUUACUGGGUGUAAAGGGUGCGCAGGUGGUUAGUUAAGUCUGAUGUGAAAUCCCUGGGCCCAACUCAGGAACUGCAUUGGAAACUGGCUAGCUUUGAGUACCGGAGAGGGAAGCGGAAUUCCUGGUGUAGCGGUGAAAUGCGUAGAUACCAGGAGGAACACCGGUGGCGAAGGCGGCUUCCUGGCCGAGUACUGACGCUCAUGCACGAAAGCGU
rnacentral:rRNA from 1 species